rnacentral:lncRNA from 1 species
GUCAAAAAUGUAAGUGUAUCUCAGGACUUCCCAGGUCGAUAGUGAAAGUUUUCCUGCAGGGGUUAGUCCAACAAAAUAUCCAAUAUCUACUAUAGCAUACUAUUGGCUCAAAAAUCAACCUAGACACCAUGUCUAAUUUGAUUUAGGAGGGCAUUUUAACCUAAGCACCAUGCUUAAUUUAAAACCCCUUGGUAGUAAGAUCAUCAUUCCUAAACUAAG